GCAGGUGUCGUCUAGUGGUUAGGACGUCCGCCUUACACGCGGAAGAUCGUCGGUUCAAUCCCGGCCACCUGUA